UGUGGGAGGCGGGAGUAAAAGAGCUGUAACCUUCUCUCCCGCUCCAGGAACUACCCUCCUGCUUGACAAAUUACAGGAGCGAAAAAGCCACAUAUCAGAGGAGACUUCAGGGUAAUGUCUGAUCAUUGUGGCCUAUGUCCAACAAGAAUCAUAUUAGAGUACUCAAAUAUGAAUACUGAAGAUAUUUUUUACCACUGAGACAGUAAAGAAAGUAUCAUCAAAUGGAGCAAGUGACUGAAAGGAACUGUGGUCACUACAAAUGUCAAUGAAGCC